GCCGGGCAUAGUGGCUUGUGCCUGUAAUCCCAGCUACUAGGGGAGGCUGAGGCAGGAGAAUCACUUGAACCUGGGAGGCAGAGGUUGCAGUGAGCUGAGAUUGCGCCAGUGCACUCUAGCCUAGGUGACAGAGCAAGACUGUGUCUCAAAAAAAAAAUUGUUUUUUUUUUUAAAGAAAAGAGGCUGGGUUUAGUGGCUUAUGCCUGUAAUUACAGCACUUUAGGAGGCUGAGACGGGCAGAUCACCUGAGGUCAGGAGCUCGAGACCAGCCUGGCCAACAUGGCGAAAUCCUGUCUCU
rnacentral:sRNA from 1 species